CAGGGUACCCAUUGACCCUCCUUAGUUUAACCAAAUGAACUAAAAUUUUAAAAUAACACAACUUUUUGAAAAACUAGUUCAUUUGUUUGAACUAAGGAGGGUCAAAGGGUACCCUA
rfam:Brachypodium distachyon strain Bd21 chromosome 1, whole genome shotgun sequence.